UACGAAGGGAGCUAGCGUUAUUCGGAUUUACUGGGCGUAAAGGGUGCGUAGGCGGUUUAUUAAGUCAGUCGUCAAAUUUCACUGCUUAACGGUGAGCCGGCGAUUGAUACUGAUGAACUAGAGGGUGGAAGAGAGGAGUGGAAUUCUCGGAGUAGCGGUAAAAUGCGUAGAUCUCGAGAGGAACACCAAUUGCGAAGGCAGCUCCUUGGUCCAUACCUGACGCUCAAGUACGAAAGCGUGGGGAGCAAACAGG
rnacentral:rRNA from 1 species